UACGUAGGGUGCGAGCGUUAAUCGGAAUUACUGGGCGUAAAGCGUGCGCAGGCGGUUCGUUAAGUCAGAUGUGAAAGCCCCGGGCUCAACCUGGGAACUGCAUUUGAAACUGGCGGGCUUGAGUGUGGCAGAGGGGGGUGGAAUUCCGCGUGUAGCAGUGAAAUGCGUAGAGAUGCGGAGGAACACCGAUGGCGAAGGCAGCCCCCUGGGCCAACACUGACGCUGAGGCGCGAAAGCUAGGGGAGCAAACGGG
rnacentral:rRNA from 1 species